AAUCAACGCUGGCGGCGUGCCUCAGACAUGCAAGUCGAACGCGAAAGUCCCCUUCGGGGGAUAAGUAGAGUGGCGUCCGGGUGAGUAACACGUAGGUAAUCUACCUUUGGGUGGGGAAUAACAACCGGAAACGGUUGCUAAUACCGCAUAAUGCAGCGGCACCACAUGGUGACAGUUGUUAAAGCGGGGGAUCGCAAGACCUCGCGCCUAAAGAGGAGCCUGCGGCGGAUUAGCUAGUUGGAGGGUAACGGCCUACCAAGGCAACGAUCCGUAGCCGGCCUGAGAGGGCGGUCGGCCACACUGACACUGAAAUACGGGUCAGACUCCUACGGAAGGCAGCAGUCGGGAAUUUUGGGCAAUGGGCGAAAGCCUGACCCCAGCAACGCCGCGUGAAGGAUGAAAUCCCUCGGGAUGUAAACUUCGCAAGAACAGGAAGAAUAAGUA
rnacentral:rRNA from 1 species